GGAUCGCUCUCUUCUAGGAGUGCCCCAGCCUCUCCCAGUCACGCUGGAGUGCUGUCUGGAGUGCUCACUCUAGUGGCACCUGAGAGCCUUUGGAGACAAGGCUUGCCAGCCCCCCUGGCACCACACACCUCAGACUCGCUGUCAUCCAGGAAUCCCCGUUUGCCCAGAGUGCACCAGGACCACCUCUGUCCAGUCAGCCAGUCUUAAUCACCGUCCAGCAGCAGCCAUCAAGCCUGUCACCUACAUCGUAGCCACCCCAGUGACUACUCGACCUCCUAGCCACCCAUUGUGCAGACAGUUCAUGUCGUCAACCAGAUACCAGUGGUGUGGCCGGACUGGCCCCAGCAAAUAUGUACACUGUCUCUGGACAAGCUGUGGUCACCCCAGCAGCUGUGCUGGGAAAGCCCCAGGAGAACGGAGAUCACAGAGAAGUCAAAGUGAAAGUAGAGUCUAUUCCCGCCAUUGGCCGUGCCACGCUAGGCACUGCUAGCCGGAUCAUCCAGACGGCACAGACCACCCUGGUCCAGAUGGUGACCAUAGUGCAACAGGCACCUCUGGGUCUACCCAUAAAAACUGUAACACAAAACAGCACUCACGUGGUGUCAGUCCCCACUGUGGUCCACGGCCAGGUGAACAAUGCAGUGGCGGGUCCUUUGCACAUGUUGGUGACACACGCGUCCACAUCGGCCUCCCUGCCCAUACAGUGCCAGAGCAGUGACCAGCAGGAGCAGCCAGAGCUGAAGCAGAUCAAGAUGGAAGAUGGCGAGAGCACUGUCAUGGCCCUGAGUGUGGACAUGCCACCAGCAGCUGUAAGGGAAAAGGGUGUCCAGAACUAGCUACUGAGAGAGCUUUUCUUGAACAAUAUCAACUUUCUGGUGCCAAAAGGAGACAUUGCCUCCCACUAGCUCUCAGUGGAUGCAGGGCCCUGUGGUUGGACUUCACCUCUCAGUACUGAAAACACAAAACUCAGGUGGCCUUAAAACUGCUUAAUUUAAAGACAGAAGUCACACUUGAACAAAAACCACACACAACAAAACCUGAUUUUGGAGACAGUGUCUCCCCCACUGAGCACCUGCAGGUCUGCUGCCUUUGGGUUCAGCUUUUACCUACGAAUGAGACUCUCGGUCCUCCUGCGAGGACCACGCAUCGCUGUGUGAGGAUGGCCGUCAGCGCCUGCUGCAGGUGGGUCUCCCAGUACUAGGCCCUCAGGACGUGAGGGGAGCUGUCCCCGCCACCCUCACAGGACCCGCCAGGCAGCAGAGACAAGACAGUGCUUUCUUGCUCACAUGUGGAAUUCGAGUAUUUUGAGGUGUACUUUCUUUGCAAAAUAAUGGGGUUUGGGGCAUUUCACAUCACUCCGUUUCUAUCAGACUUUUGGAAUCACACAGGACCUUUCAGUGGAAUCAUUUGGGAAAAAGAAACAAUGUAGUUUUUUUGUUUUCAGCCUAGAAUGAUUUCCUUUUGUCUCUCUUGUUAAAGUUCAGAUGAAGCUACUUUGUGGCAUCUGCACAUUUCCAUGCUACAGUAGCUGCCUGAUGAAUUUCAUCCACCUCCAUUUCAGCGUGUGGGUGGCGUGGACAGGUGGACGGAUGCUGUGGCCACUUGGAACCCUGAGAACCCAGCGAGGAGCUGGUGCUGGGAAGGAACUGCCCGGACUCACCGAGCUGCACUUAACUGUUCUCUUUCUGGCUGUUUUUGUUGUUUCUUUGGGUUGACUUUGUCCCUGGCAAAAUAUUCCACUCUAAGUAAAACAAGUCUCCUAAGUAUUGUUUAUGUU